CAAUAGCGUAUAUUAAAGUUGUUGCAGUUAAAAAGCUCGUAGUUGAAUUUCGGGUGCUCGUAGUCGGUCCUUCAUUGGGCUGGCGCGUGUGCUCUCCCCGCCUUUGGCGGCCUUUACUGUGAAAAAAUUAGAGUGUUCAAAGCAGGCAAUCGCUUGAAUACAUUAGCAUGGAAUAAUAAGAUAGGAUCUUGUCUAUUUUGUUGGUUGCGGACAAAGAUAAUGAUUAAUAGGGAUAGUUGGGGGUGUCCGUAUUGAGCUGUCAGAGGUGAAAUUCUUGGAUUUGUUCAAGACGAACUGCUGCGAAAGCGUUCACCAAGGAUGUUUUCAUUAA
rnacentral:rRNA from 1 species